UAGGGAAUCUUCCACAAUGGACGAAAGUCUGAUGGAGCAACGCCGCGUGAGUGAAGAAGGUUUUCGGAUCGUAAAGCGCUGUUGUUGGUGAAGAAGGAUAGAGGCAGUAACUGGUCUUUAUUUGACGGUAUCAACCAGAAGUCGCGGCUAACUACGUGUCAG
rnacentral:rRNA from 1 species